GUCAAAGUGCCCUCUUCUCGGUGAGCCUGCAGCGUACUACUCACAUACAUCUCUAUGGGCUUGCGCAGCGGAGACCAGCUCGCACGCCUCCCGUCAACUCAAACAGUUGUUUGCAUGACAACUCCUUUCCACUAAAGAGUGCGACGCAUGGCACCACGUAAAUGGGAAGUAGAAUUCCCAUGGUUUAUAAAUAAUGCAACCGUUUGCGUGGUAACGUAAGAGUUCUUUGUUCCAAAAAGCUUUUGUUGUCUAUUAAUGUGUGCACCUUUUCCCAAAACGGACGCAAAAAAUACCACAUCAUAUUUGUGUUAUAUCAUGAAGCCAUGCCAAAUUUCUUGAAUUUUGUGUGAGUUUUAAAUUUAUUACAGUUUAAACCAAUAUUCUCAACAUUGUAUCUAGAAUAAAAAUAUAUUGAAAACAUGUCUUAAAUAGGAAAAAAAUAC
rnacentral:lncRNA from 1 species